UUUUUCUGCCAAAUCAUCCUUUUUGAAGGUACUUCACAAAACACAGCGCCAUUUAUUUUCCAGUGCAUCUUUAGUGGCUUUGCUUGUCUUUGAGAAUAAGCUUUGCUUCUAGCAGAAUCAGUCAAAGCCUCAAUCCAAUAUUCAGUCAAAUCCUAUUGGAAGAAUGGGAUCAAAAUCGGAGUUUGGAAGGAUAGUUAUACCCGUUUGCAUAGUUAUGCCUGAAUAAUGCUACUCGUUUACCACUCUAGAGUGGAGAAUGGAAAAAUUCGUCUUUUUAUUUUAAUUGAUUCAGAAUGUAACUUUUUCAAGAAAAUAGUCUAUACCAUAGAUAAUUU